rnacentral:rRNA from 1 species
GACGAACGCUGGCGGCGUGCUUAACACAUGCAAGUCGAGCGGUAAGGCCCUUUCGGGGGUACACGAGCGGCGAACGGGUGAGCAACACGUGGGUGACCUGCCCUCAGCUCUGGGAUAAGCCUGGGAAACCGGGUCUAAUACUGGAUAUGACUCCAUGACGCAUGUUGUGGGGUGGAAAGCCUUGUGCGGCUGAGGAUGGGCCCGCGGCCUAUCAGCUUGUUGGGGGGUGAUGGCCUACCAAGGCGACGACGGGUAGCCGGCCUGAGAGGGCGACCGGCCACACUGGGACUGAGACACGGCCCAGACUCCUACGGGAGGCAGCAGUGGGGAAUCUUGCGCAAUGGGCGAAAGCCUGACGCAGCGACGCCGCGUGAGGGAUGACGGCCU